rnacentral:tRNA from 1 species
CGGAGUAUAGCGCAGUCUGGUAGCGUACCAUGUUCGGAACGUGGGGGUCGCAGGUUCGAAUCCUGCUACUCCGACCA